rnacentral:rRNA from 1 species
AGUGAACGCUGGCGGUAGGCCUAACACAUGCAAGUCGAACGGCAGCACAGGAGAGCUUGCUCUCUGGGUGGCGAGUGGCGGACGGGUGAGGAAUACAUCGGAAUCUACUUUUUCGUAGGGGAUAACGUAGGGAAACUUACGCUAAUACCGCAUACGACCUACGGGUGAAAGCAGGGGAUCUUCGGACCUUGCGCGAUUGAAUGAGCCGAUGUCGGAUUAGCUAGUUGGCGGGGUAAAGGCCCACCAAGGCGACGAUCCGUAGCUGGUCUGAGAGGAUGAUCGGCCACCCUGGAACUGAGACACGGUCCUGACUCCUACGGGAGGCAGCAGUGGGGAAUAUUGGACAAUGGGCGCAAGCCUGAUCCAGCCAUACCGCGUGGGUGAAGAAGGCCUUCGGGUUGUAAAGCCCUUUUGUUGGGAAAGAAAUCCAGCUGGUUAAUACCCGGUUGGGAUGACGGUACCCAAAGAAUAAGCACCGGCUAACUUCGUGCCAGCCGCCGCCGUAA